UUAAAGGCUAUGGAAGAUCUGCAGAAAUACAAGCACAACCUUAUGGAGUGUUUCAAAAGGAGCUGGGUAACAGUGACUCCACAACUCCCUAUGUCUCUCUCUUCCCACAUGACAGUAGCUGUGGGUGAUCUGUGUGCGAAAAAAGAAUGUGCCCUUCAUAUGCAUAAUGUCAAAAGGCCAACAAGAUCCAAAAAAAGUUCCUACUUUUCCUCUGACCUCUUUGAUUGCCUCACACAGAUCCAGUUCUCUUAGGUGUAUCUCUGUAUGCAUGCCAAGGCAUCAGUGGGAGGAGAAGGGAAUCAAAUGCCAUGUCUGGCCUUCUCCUUAUUAAGAAGCAUGGAAGGGAUUUGCACAUAGAGGAUGUCUCCAGGAGAGGGAAUGAAAGUCAAGAUCACAGUGAGGAAAACCAAAGGAGAGCUGUGUUUUAAACAACUCCUUAUUUGACCAUCUUCCAGCAUGAAAAUUGGAUAUAACCUGGGGCCGGUUAUACCAUGCGUGGAAUAAACAGCAUUGAAAAUGAUUGUUUCUGCAGGGAAAAUGAGAUCAAAUAUUACUUCCUUUCAAAAUUAAUAGAAAGGAAAGUGUUUUCAAAGAUAGAGUGAACUUCACAAAGUUAAGAAACCUUUAUGCAAUUACUGACGUAUUUCUUCACUGCAUGCUGUUCUUUUGCAACUUAGUUGCUCCAAAUUGACCCAGAAAGCCUAAAAGAUACACAACUCGAUGGGGUGAUCCUUGUGGUGCUCUAGAUGCCAACAUAGCUAAGAACUGCAACAAUGAAUGAGGCUGUAGGCUUUAAUAGAUGUUAACAGAUUCAUAUAAGCUGAUAGGAACACAAGUAACCCAGAUUUGAUCUGGCCUGCAUAAAAAGUCAGGCACCAGAGAGCAGAGCCCAGCGCUGCCCCUCCGCUCCCUGUGAGGAGCUGCAGCCGCCAUGGGACCUCCCCUCAGCUCCUCUGCUCUGGGCUGAGCAAACCCAGGGACCUCAGAUGCUUCUCACAGGUCUUGCCCUCCAGACCCUCCUCAUCUUUGCAGCCCUCCUUCGGAUGCUCCUAAUACAUUUAUGUCCUUCUUAUAUUGUGGUGCUCAAACUGCACCCAGUGCUGGGAGUGAGGUUGCAGCACAGAGCAAAGAAGGCUCAAGGGUCUAAUUAGUAUCUCUAAAUACCUGAAGAGAAAAUGUGACGAGGGCAGAGCCAGACUCUUUCCAGUGGCACACAGUACCGGGUUGAGAGGAAAUGAGCACAAACUGAAGCCUUCUGAACAGCAGGAAUCACUUCUUUACUGUGUGGGUGACUGAGCACUUGCAUAGUUUGUCCAGAGAGGUUGUGGAGUCUCCUUGAAGAUUCCCAAAAGUUGCUAGACAUGAGCAUGGGCACCCUGUGCUGAGUGUCUCUACUUGAGCAGGGGGCUCAAAUUGUCUGUUGGAUCUUGUCUUUAUUUGAACUGGAAGCAGCAGAAGUGUGAUUCUCUAUACCACAGGACUGAAGUUCCAGGAUGCUGUGGAAUGAAACCCUAUGGCCAAGAACAGACUGUACAAUGAGAAGGAUUGAGGAUGCUGGCAGUUCUAACAAACAAGUUCUGAUUCAGCCUGUCAGGUGGUGCAUGGCUUAGGUAAUAUUUUCAAAGCGUGUUUUGAAUAGAAACCUACUGUAUUUCUGUUGGAGUGAACUGAAUAUAUAUAAAGGAAAAACAAAUCAUUAGUCUUGUAUCAGAGAUAAAUGGCAAAAGGGAACAAUGUAAAACUCUUGACAUUUUGGUCAGUGUUUUACCCUUAAGUUAUUGUCCAAGAGUCUUCCUCUUGCAUCUCCAAAAGCACCAACUGGCACAUUAGAAAGUACACACUGUUGAUUUUUAUUUCACAUAAACUUCUUUUCCACUUAAUCACAAAGUAAGGCUUUAUAAGGAUAAUGCCACACGAGAGAAAAGGGCAUCCUCUGAUCACUAUCUGAAAACUAAAUGUAGUCAAGAGAAAGGAAGGGGAAAGGAAAUGGAGAGUACAUAAUACCCAGUGGUACACAGCCUCAGGCUUCAAUUUAGCCCCUUAUGUUUUGAACAGAAGCUGUUUUGAAUUACAUGAGCUAAAAUGACAUAAAUAAUCCAAAACAUAUGCUAAAAAGAACUAAAAAACCUCUAAUUAAUGAUGAACAGAUAACAGAUUGCAUUGUCAAACUGAUUAAAUAAAAUAUUUCUUGCUUG
ensembl:lncRNA